CACCCAAUCUAGACUAAAGACGUUUAUGGAGUAGACAAAGAAAUCUUUUCUGAUGCUUUCUCUCUAUUUUGCUUUCUUGAAGUUGGAUACCAAUCAACAGCAUAUAUUGUUCAGAUGCGGCCGGGAAAGUCAAAUCUUCAACUAUCGUGAGGAGAAGGAACUUUUAAUCUAAACACAAGUCAAUCCUUAAGUAGCAGUUCAAAGCAGUGCGAACCUCUCAUCGAUUUAUUUGGCGUCAGAAUAUAGGAGUCGGGUUUGAAGACAACGGAGGGAGAUUGAAGGUUCAAGUGAUUGUCGGAUAUGGAUUCAAGGAUCGAGAAGCCAGGGAGGGGACGAGCAUGCAAAGGUUAGAGGGAGGAGAGAUCAGAGAGGAUUUGUUGUGGAGAUGAAAAAUAUCUUACGUUCUUAAAAGUGAAAUAUAUUUUUCCAAGUCAACAAACGUUUUUUUCCACUAACCCACAAAUGUUUUACCUUUAUGCAAAGAUUUUCCUGUU